rnacentral:rRNA from 1 species
UACGUAGGGGGCAAGCGUUGUCCGGAAUCAUUGGGCGUAAAGAGCUCGUAGGCGGUCUGUCGCGUCGGAUGUGAAAACCCGGGGCUUAACCCCGGGCCUGCAUUCGAUACGGGCAGACUCGAGUGUGGUAGGGGAGACUGGAACUCCUGGUGUAGCGGUGAAAUGCGCAGAUAUCAGGAAGAACACCGGUGGCGAAGGCGGGUCUCUGGGCCACUACUGACGCUGAGGAGCGAAAGCGUGGGGAGCGAACAGG